rnacentral:rRNA from 1 species
GAUGAACGCUGGCGGCGUGCCUAAUACAUGCAAGUCGAGCGAACAGACGAGGAGCUUGCUCCUCUGACGUUAGCGGCGGACGGGUGAGUAACACGUGGAUAACCUACCUAUAAGACUGGGAUAACUUCGGGAAACCGGAGCUAAUACCGGAUAAUAUAUUGAACCGCAUGGUUCAAUAGUGAAAGACGGGUUUGCUGUCACUUAUAGAUGGAUCCGCGCCGCAUUAGCUAGUUGGUAAGGUAACGGCUUACCAAGGGAACGAUGCGUAGCCGACGUGAGAGGGUGAUCGGCCACACUGGAACUGAGACACGGUCCAGACUCCUACGGGAGGCAGCAGUAGGGAAUCUUCCGCAAUGGGCGAAAGCCUGACGGAGCAACGCCGCGUGAGUGAUGAAGGUCUUCGGAUCGUAAAACUCUGUUAUUAGGGAAGAACAAAUGUGUAAGUAACUAUGCACGUCUUGACGGUACCUAAUCAGAAAGCCACGGCUAACUACGUG